GAUGAACGCUGGCGGCGUGCCUAAUACAUGCAAGUCGAGCGAACGGACGAGAAGCUUGCUUCUCUGAUGUUAGCGGCGGACGGGUGAGUAACACGUGGAUAACCUACCUAUAAGACUGGGAUAACUUCGGGAAACCGGAGCUAAUACCGGAUAAUAUUUUGAACCGCAUGGUUCAAAAGUGAAAGACGGUCUUGCUGUCACUUAUAGAUGGAUCCGCGCUGCAUUAGCUAGUUGGUAAGGUAACGGCUUACCAAGGCAACGAUGCAUAGCCGACCUGAGAGGGUGAUCGGCCACACUGGAACUGAGACACGGUCCAGACUCCUACGGGAGGCAGCAGUAGGGAAUCUUCCGCAAUGGGCGAAAGCCUGACGGAGCAACGCCGCGUGAGUGAUGAAGGUCUUCGGAUCGUAAAACUCUGUUAUUAGGGAAGAACAUAUGUGUAAGUAACUGUGCACAUCUUGACGGUACCUAAUCAGAAAGCCACGGCGACUACGUG
rnacentral:rRNA from 1 species